AUAGACUACCUCACCUAUCGCGCUCUCGAUAAUAUACGUAAUUACGUAGUCAAAAACUCAGUUAUAUAAUCAAUAUGUUACUUUCCAAAUUCUUUGCUGCCUUUAUUGAGUUGGACAACUUCCUAGUGUACUUCUUUUACACAGUACCCACACGCGAUUUCUACUCAUUUAUUACACGUAUUCCCGUCGAGACGUGACAUUAAAUAUUAUAUUUCGGGGCAAUGGCGUCACUAUCAGGGUCCACAACGUAUACCUACUAUUUCUUCUUUACUUUUAACAUCUUUUAUUUUACAAUAAUACUUUAAUGUAAACAACGAUUCCUUGUUGCUGGCAGCAUUAAAUCAGAAUAAUGAUCACAACCAAAUAAAAAAUUAGUAUUUGUUUCAUAAUUUGGCUGGAAUGCAUAUUCAUUUAAAAUAAUUGAAAAACAUAGAAUAUCGAUUAAUAACUGUAGAUUGUGGUUAUGAAAAUAAGUAAAAUAACCGUACCAGUUACAACUUCAUGCUAUAAGUUCAAAUAGAUAAGAUUUACGAUGAUAUGAAUUUUGAUAGUGAUACUGGAAUGCUCAGAAAGAAAUGAAUGAGGAUCAAAUUACUCAAGAAGCUGGAAUGGAAUCCAAGCAUGAAAAAUGUAUAGUCCAGACUCAAAAUGGAUGGAUUUGUGGAUACAUUGAUAGAAGAGAUGAAGGGACAUACUACAAAUUCAAAAGUAUACCUUAUGCGGAACCACCUGUUGGAAAUCUAAGGUUUAAGCCUCCGAAAUAUCUACAGCCUUGGAAAAAUAUACAAGAUUGUACAAAAGAUGCACCAUUACCACUAUCAAUCUAUGUUAAUCAAGAGGUGUUUGGGUCUGAAGAUUGUCUUUAUAUUGAAGUGUCCUCCCCAAACAUUAAACCUGACAAACCACUUCCUGUCAUGUUUUGGAUUGGAAGCUGCAACUUUGUUGUUUAUAUAGAUUCUAUUCUUGACCCAACUCAUUUAAAUAAUCAGGGAGUAGUUUUUGUAAGAUGUGGAUUUAGAUUGGGACCAUUUGGAUUUCUGUCAAUAAAUGAUUUUUCUGCACCAGGAAAUGUUGGAUUAAAGGAUCUAAUUUUAGCAUUUAAGUGGGUUCAAGCCAACAUAAGUAACUUUGGUGGUGAUCCUAACAAUGUAACUGCAUUUGGAAGUGGUACAGGAGGUGCAAUUGUACAUCUUAUGACAUUAUCUCCCUUGGCAAGUGGCCUGUUUCAUAAAGCCAUUGUUCAAAGUUCUAGUGCCCUUAAUGAAUGGUCUCUAGCUAAAAAUCCAGUUGAAACUGCCAUGACCUUAGCAAAACAACUGGGUAUAAAGAAAACAGAUAAAUAUGAAGCUGUUGAAGAAAUGAGAAAGUUAUCAGGUUACGACAUUAUGAAAACCUAUAGCACAUUCCUUUUUGAUAAAUACAGAGAAGAGAAUGAUGUUUUCGAUUCACCAUUUAAGCCUUCUAUAGAAAAUGAAUUUGAAGGUCAACCAACAUUUAUAAGCAAAAGUCCAGCUACAAUACUUAAUUCUGGUAAAUUUAAUAAAGUUCCAAUGAUGAUUGGUACCAACAAUGUGGAAGCUAAGGUGCUUCAAUAUAUAACAGAUGAAUUUUAUAAGGAUUAUAAUAAAUACAACGAAGAUGUCAAACAUCUGGUUCCCAAAUCAUUAGCAAAUGUAAACAGUGACAGUCUAAGAAAAAUUGGCCAACAAAUAUUAUCAUUCUACUUUGUUGGGGUAGAAAAAGUUAAUGAACAAACCCAAAAACAAUACUUACAGUUUCUCACAGAUUACUAUUUUCAUUAUUACUUGGACAAAACAAUACGAAUACAUAGCAAAGUUUCCCCUGAGUUCCCUGUCUACUACUAUGUUCUCAACUAUGCUGGAGAAUGGCUGGUGCCUAAAGAAUUAGAAUUUUUUAAUACUAUUGGACAUACUGCCGAGCUUCCAUUUUUAUUUGGUAUAAAAUCGUCAGAUGGCUCUUUUUACAAGGGAAGUUGUAUUUCACUCACUACAAGGGAUAGAUGUGUCAAAAUGUGGACAAAUUUUGCAAAAUAUGGAAAUCCUACUCCUACAGAUGAUGAUGAACUUUUACAGAUUACUUGGGAUUCUGUAGAGAAUGAAAAAAGGCUAAAUUUUUUGAGUAUAAACUCAGAUUUAACAAAAGGAAGAAAUCCAUUUUAUAAGCGAAUGUUAUUUUGGGAAAGCAUACAUAAGGAACAUAUUGUUCUUAAAGUUAUUACACAUAUAAAUGAUAUGGGGCUGAAGUUUUAGUGUAGAUUUAUUUUUGUACGUAGAAUUGUUAUCAUCACAUUAUUUAUUAGUUAAAUUUAUCUUAACAAGACAUUAUUAUCCUGCUUAGUUUAGACUACAGAUAUCCUGUAAAAAAAAAUUUUUUACAGGAUAUCUGUAGUCAUACAUAACUUGAAAUAAUGAAAUAUUUAAUAACGAUCACAUAAAUAUUAAGGUGCUUUCAAACAAUUUUUUAUAUGUGAAGUUUGACAGCGCUCAAGGCUGAGCUAUUAGCAAGACAAAUGAUGAGUGUGUAAUAUCUUUAAAAAACACAUAUUUAUUGAUUAAAAAGUAUUAUUUUU